GGGCAGGUGGUGAAAUCGGCAGACACGCAGCGUUCAGGACGCUGUGCUCGAAAGAGCUUGAGGGUUCAAAUCCCUCCCUGCCCACCA
rnacentral:tRNA from 1 species